rnacentral:pre_miRNA from 1 species
CUCCCUCCGCAGGCUGUGGCCCAGGCUGGGCUGGGCGAGGAGCUCUUCCACAGGCUCACCCUCCAGCACGACUAGGAGC